GGGUCUGGGCCGCCUGGGGGACCUCGGAGUCGGUGCGUUAUGCGUACAGCGACAAAUAGAUCGUAACUUCGUGGCGGCGAGGGCUCAUCGCCGGCUCCGAAGGCCUCGCAGCGGCCUGGCCCCACGCCGGGGGGCCGUGCUGGGGUCGUAGGGGAACUGGAGCGGACGGACGGACGGACGGACGGCAGCUUGCGGCCGCUGUGCGGGAGCGGCGUCCUCCGCCCCUCCGCCUCUGUGCCGCGCAGGCGCUCCUGACCGCGCUGUCCCGGUGCCGCUCCGCGCGCUUUGGCGUCGCUCCGUACCGCCGCACUCCGACGGGGACCCGGCGCCGAAGGCCCGGUGCUGCUGCCGCCGAACUCCGCGUGUUCGGCCCCGAAGGCGCCGUCCGAAUGCGGAAAUAUGGAUGCAGCGCGCUGCAGUGGGAAGAAACCGUGGUGGUCGAGCGCAGACCCGGCGAUGAGGAUGGAGAUCAAAUACGGAGCUGAUCCCACGUGCAGCAUCUGCAGCCCUCAGCUCGCCGGGGCGAUGUACCCACAUUUCAUCAGGCAGCAGCGGACGAGCCUGGAUGUUCUCAGAAACCGCAAACACGUCGGUCAGCCCAAACCCCUCCCUGCCCUCCCCUCACACAGAGACCCUGGCAGCUCCCUUGUUGCUGCCGUGCGUCCCACUUAUGCCCACGGGCCCAAUGUGAAGUCACAGUGCUGCUGCUCGUUGAGCAUCUUGGGUGGAAAAGGUCCACCUUUGGGAAGCUGUAUCCAUUUCCCUACUGGACACAGCAGCAGAGCAGGCACAAGGCCCUAUCACAGCAGCAGCCUGUUGUCAAAUCAUGUGCAAACAGAGACACCAGGACCUGGAGCAUAUGAUGUAGACCGGGGCUAUCGAGCUUGCUUACCCAGCUCCCCCAGCAUCACCAUCCAAGGAGUCAGGAGGCCCAAGAGACACGAAACCGGCCCCUUUACAACGUUCUGAGAUGGACUACAGAAUUCCACCCCUAACCACAGGGCUUGCUCCUCUCUUCAGUAGUAAAAAGAAAAAUGCACAGAAGU
rnacentral:lncRNA from 7 species